UAGGUUUUGGUCCUGCUGUAUCCUGACAUAUCUAGGGAAAGCCACAUGCAAAAACGAAUACUGCAGGUAAACACUCCAGCCAUUAUCCAAAGGUCAUAUUUUACAGAUGUGCUCUGUGUGGAACUGGAAAUUGAUCUGCAUUCAUUUUUCAGACACCUCUGCAUAUAUAACAGUGUUGGUACCUAGUAAUUUCCCGAGCAAGAGACAGCUGAUAAUCAAAGUGUUUGGACUGCUCCUGCCUGACAGAACUGUGAGAUAUGGUCUCCACAUCUAGGUACUAAGUAUCUGACCAGAUAGAUUGUUGAGGUAGUUCUACUCAGGGUACUAUGAUGCAGGUCUGGAAUUUACUUCUCUUUGUGAUGUUAACCAUCACCCAACCAUGGGACCACUGGUGUGAGUCUUUCCACCUUUCUAAGGUUCACUCCCUCAUUAGCAUCUCAUCCUAAGGACACCUUCUACCUCCUUGUCCUCUAAGCAAUGCUUUUCAAACCCUACAGACCAGUGCCUGCAUCAGAAUAAUGAGGAAGGGCUUUUGGAAUACUAUGCAGCCAUGUCCCUCUGCAGGGACAUGGAUGAAGCUGGAAACCGUCAUUCUCAGCAAACUAACAUAAGAACAGAAAACCAAACACCACAUGUCCUCACUCAUAAGUGGGAGUUGAACAAUGAGAAUACAUGGACACGGGCAGUGACCUGAGAAGCUACGUAUUGACACGGCGCUACCACGGGUGGAGGAGCCUGCAUUGCUGAAUCACAGGAUGAAGGCGAAUCCCUGCCAGCCUCCAUCCAUCUCUGGGGUGCUUAGCAGAAUCCUCAGCUCACAAGAUGAAUAAAUGCAGACUAAAUGAUGCACAAAUAAUCUUCACACACAACCAUCAACACAUGGAAAGACUGCAGGACGGCCAGAUCCCAAGCUAACAAACAGAAAAAGAAAAAAAAUGGCAUUAUGAUACAAACAGAAAAUGUAACAGUGGAGUGCAGAAAAUACAAAAAAAAGGAAAAAAUAAAUAGAAAAUCUUCAAAGAGGCAAUCUGUUUAAAUCUUCAAGAACUGGAAACAGUAAAAGUGAACAGGUUUUUAUUGAGCAUGUCAAUAAAAUGUUUGCAUAAG
rnacentral:lncRNA from 1 species